rnacentral:tRNA from 1 species
UAGUGUGUAACUCAUCUGGUAGAGUGUUAGACUUUUAAUCUGUUAGUAGUUGGUUCGAGCCCAAUCACACUAU